UGUAAGGAAGGGCCUUGUGGUAAUAAAACUUCUCAGCAAUUGCUUCUCUGUAAAGGAUUUUAUUUCUCCUUCACUUACGAAUCUUAGUUUGGCUGGAUAUGAGAUUCCGUGU